rnacentral:tRNA from 1 species
GCGAACGUAGCUCAGGGGUAGAGCUCCACCUUGCCAUGGUGGAGGUCGCGGGUUCGAAUCCCGUCGUUCGCU